GACGAACGCUGGCGGCGUGCCUAAUACAUGCAAGUUGAGCGCUGAAGGUUGGUACUUGUACCGACUGGAUGAGCAGCGAACGGGUGAGUAACGCGUGGGGAAUCUGCCUUUGAGCGGGGGACAACAUUUGGAAACGAAUGCUAAUACCGCAUAAAAACUUUAAACACAAGUUUUAAGUUUGAAAGAUGCAAUUGCAUCACUCAAAGAUGAUCCCGCGUUGUAUUAGCUAGUUGGUGAGGUAAAGGCUCACCAAGGCGAUGAUACAUAGCCGACCUGAGAGGACGGACGGGGAGAGUGGGAGUGAGAGACGGCGCAGAGUACGACGGGAGGCAGCAGGGGGGAAUGUUGAGCAGUGGGGGGAAGGCUAAUCCAGCAAUGGAGCGGGCAGGAGGAGGGCCUGCGGGUUGUAAAAUGAUUUUGUACGGAACGAAAAGACCGCUUCUAAUACAGGAGGGGCAGGACGGUACCGUAAGAAGAAGCACCGGCUAACUACGUG
rnacentral:rRNA from 1 species